GACGAACGCUGGCGGCGUGCCUAACACAUGCAAGUCGAGCGAAGAACUUCGGUUCUUAGCGGCGGACGGGUGAGUAACACGUGGGUAACCUGCCUCAAAGAGGGGGAUAGCCUCCCGAAAGGGAGAUUAAUACCGCAUAAUAUUAGAUCUUCACAUGGAGAUUUAAUUAAAGGAGCAAUCCGCUUUGAGAUGGACCCGCGGCGCAUUAGCUAGUUGGUGAGGUAACGGCUCACCAAGGCGACGAUGCGUAGCCGACCUGAGAGGGUGAUCGGCCACAGUGGAACUGAGACACGGUCCAGACUCCUACGGGAGGCAGCAGUGGGGAAUAUUGCACAAUGGGCGAAAGCCUGAUGCAGCAACGCCGCGUGAGUGAUGAAGGCCUUCGGGUUGUAAAACUCUGUCUUUGGGGACGAUAAUGACGGUACCCAAGGAGGAAGCCACGGCUAACUACGUGCCAGCCGCCGCGGUAACAC
rnacentral:rRNA from 1 species